rnacentral:misc_RNA from 1 species
AAUGAAGAACGUAGCGAAAUGCGAUAAGUAAUGUGAAUUGCAGAAUUCAGUGAAUCAUCGAAUCUUUGAACGCACAUUGCGCCCCUUGGUAUUCCGAGGGGCAUGCCUGUUCGAGCGUCAUUAUAACCCCUCAAGCUCAGCUUGGUGUUGGGGCCUGCUGCACUGGCAGCCCUUAAAAUCAGUGGCGGCGCCAUCUGGCUCUAAGCGUAGUAAUUCUUCUCGCUAUGGAGUCCUGGUGGAUGCUUGCCAUCAACCCCCAAUUUUUCUAUGGUUGACCUCGGAUCAGGUAGGGAUACCCGCUGAACUUAAGCAUAUCAAUAAGCGGAGGA